UACGUAGGGAGCAAGCGUUGUCCGGAAUCAUUGGGCGUAAAGCGCGCGUAGGCGGCCCCGUAAGUCCGCUGUGAAAGUCAAAGGCUCAACCUUUGAAAGCCGGUGGAUACUGUGGGGCUAGAGUCCGGAAGAGGCGAGUGGAAUUCCUGGUGUAGCGGUGGAAUGCGCAGAUAUCAGGAGGAACACCACUAGCGAAGGCAGCUCGCUGGGACGGUACUGACGCUAAGGCGCGAAAGCGUGGGGAGCGAACAGG
rnacentral:rRNA from 1 species